rnacentral:rRNA from 1 species
AGCGAACGCUGGCGGCAGGCUUAACACAUGCAAGUCGAGCGGGCAUCUUCGGAUGUCAGCGGCAGACGGGUGAGUAACCCGUGGGAACGUACCCUUCGGUUCGGAACAACUCUGGGAAACUGGAGCUAAUACCGGAUACGCCCUUAUGGGGAAAGGUUUACUGCCGAAGGAUCGGCCCGCGUCUGAUUAGCUAGUUGGUGGGGUAACGGCCUACCAAGGCGACGAUCAGUAGCUGGUCUGAGAGGAUGAUCAGCCACACUGGGACUGAGACACGGCCCAGACUCCUACGGGAGGCAGCAGUGGGGAAUAUUGGACAAUGGGCGCAAGCCUGAUACAGCCAUGCCGCGUGAGUGAUGAAGGCCUUAGGGUUGUAAAGCUCUUUUGUCCGGGACGAUAAUGACGGUACCGGAAGAAUAAGCCCCGGCUAACUUCGUG